AGCUUUGCACAGUGAUAGUAUCAUAGCCAAUGAGGUUUGUCUGAGGCGCGAUUAUUGCUAAUUGAAAACUUAAAAUUCUGCCUUUUUUUUUUUUUUUUUUUUUUUUUUUUGGUUUUUGGCCACACCCGGCGGUG